AUUAGGGCAUUUGAGCUAUGGCGUGGUGGCAUAGCAUGGUCCCGAUGGGCAUCAUUGGCGGCGCUCUCUUUCUGAUGGGCUAUCUUCCUCAUAUGGCUCAUGUCAAGACCAUGGGCAAGCCCAAGCCCGUGAGGAACGAUAAAUGGGACAAGCUCAUGGACGACAGGGAUAGGCGCAUAAUUGAGAAAGCCCAGCAGCAGGAAGCCCAAGCUGCCGCCUAGCACUGGCCAGGAAUCUUUUGUUUGUAAGAACUUUCUUGUGUUUCAUAAGAACUUCCAGCCUUUCGGUCGAGAACUAUUUCUUCUCAUUCGAUUUCCAUUCGUCCGGUGGAAAUUUCACGUUGUUCUCUUGGAUUUCUGCCUGUGAAGGAUCGGUUUCUUUGUUCCAGAGAGCUCAAAAUCCUCGCCAAGAUUCUCAAGCCUUUGAACACCUUGGUCUCGACUUGCAUGGUCUUGGUGAAAAAAUACUGCCAGCUCAAGUACGCGGCCACAAGGCUGCUGAAAGUAGCGGCCCCGACGAGCAUGUUCAUCACCACCAUCUGGAGACGCACAGCUUCCAGCGGCGACGCGCCACCCAUGAUAAGUCCCGUCAUCGCACCAGGCAGCGAGAUUAAUCCCACCGUUUUCGUGUUGUCCAGGACGGGACUCAAGGCCAGUAUCAAAGUUCUCUUCAUCGGUCGCUUGAUCGCCUGGCUCGGCGUCGCUCCAAGAGCUAGAGCCGUUUCAACCUGGAAGAACAAAAGGUUGUCUCGCAGGUUUUUCAUGGCGACCCCGGUGACUGUCAUGGAGUUUCCAACCAUCAUUCCACUCACCGGGAUCAUGUAGCGGGGCGUGAGAGGAAACACUCGAAGCAGCAGUAGCAGCGCAAGCGUAACACCAGUGCCGAUGAAGAUGGAGAUUCCAGCGAUGUAUGGACUUCGUGGGACGUGUCUUGCUCGUCGCCCCGCCGUGUAUCCCGCGACGAUCACCUACAAGGAGAAAGAAGAGAUCUUACCAUGAAGGUGUAAGCCACGAAGAUCCAGACGGCGUUCUUCUGCUCGAAGAUGAACUGGAGGAUGAAGCCGAUGAGGGCGAGCUGGACGAAGGCUCUGGCGAUGGAGGUGACCAUCUCCUGCUCCAGUUGAAGCCGCUGGACGAGCGACAGCGCGAUCGCCAUGCCGACAAUCGCCAGCGCCGCCACCGGCUUGAGCAUUCCCGCCGCAAACUCCUCGAAAGCAUUCCUCGCGAGAACCUCCAGGAUCAUCCUCGCUACUCUCUCUUUCUCUCUCGACACUGGAACGAGGAAGCCGGAUCGUUCCAAAGGAACUCGCUUUAUUCUCGUGGCGAGCACGAGCAAUGACAGCCGUCCAUUCCAAGAGCUUGCGAGGAUCCUGGCCGCAAACGUUAACAACAGCCAUUGACAGUUACCACCUAUCUCCACGGAGGCUACGACCUUGCGGUAGACAAGGAUAUCUUUUUCCCGUACAUGGUAUGUGGACUCUAACGUAAGAGAUUUGAUCGGACGUUACUCCAAAAUCUAUAAUUUUUCAUUCCUUA